AAUCGAACCCGGAGAUAGCUGGUUCUCCUCGAAAUAGCUUUAGGGCUAGCCUCAUGGAUCAUUGGUGGGGGUAGAGCACUGAAUGUGCGCGGGGGCCACAAAGCCUACCAAACGCUAUCAAACUUCGAAUACCAUACAAUGCAGACCAUGGGAGUCAGUCCGCGAGAGAUAAGUUCCGCGGGCAAAAGGGGAACACCCCAGAUCAACCGCUAAGGUCCCCAAGUUCACGUUAAGUGGAGAAGGAUGUGGAAUUGCACAGACAACCAGGAUGUUGGCUCAGAAGCAGCCACACAUUUAAAGAGUGCGUAAUAGCUCACUGGUCGAGUGAUUGUGCGCCGAAGAUGUCCGGGGCUAAACGUGACACCGAAGCGAUGGGUGCGUCUGAAGAAGAUGCGCGGUAGAGGAGCAAUGUGCAGAGGCAGAAGCCGUAUCGAGAGGCACGGUGGACACUGCACAAGAGAGAAUGCCGGUAUGAGUAGCGAGAGGCAUGCGAGAAACAUGCCCGUCGAAAGCCCAAGGUUUCCUGGGGAAGGUUCAUCCGCCCAGGGUAAGUCGGGGCCUAAGCCGAGGACGGAAGUCGUAGGCGAUGGACAGCAGGUGUAGAUUCCUGCACUACCGAUGGAAUGAAGCAGUGACACAGAAGGAUAACUCGAGCAGGGUGAUGGUCAACCCUGUGCAAGCAUCAAGGUUGGGUUGUAGUGAAGUACGCAACCCUAUAAGCUGAGAUGUGAUGCGGACCGAAAUUUCAGUAGGGAAGCGAGUGAGUUCACGCUGGCGAGAAAAGCUGCUAGUACAUCCAAAGGUACCCGUACCGGAAACCGACGCAGGUGGGCGAGGAGAGAAUCCUGAGACGAACGGGAGAACCCUUGUUAAGGAACUCGGCAAAAUGACCCCGUAACUUCGGGAUAAGGGGUGCCUGCGAGAGCAGGCCGCAGAGAAUAGUCACAAGCGACUGUUUAGCAAAAACACAGGUAUCUGCGAAAGCGAGAGCUGACGUAUAGGUGCUGACACCUGCCCGGUGCUGGAAGGUUAAGGGAACAUGUUAGAGCAAUCGAAGCAUCGAACCGAAGCCCCAGUAAACGGCGGCCGUAACUAUAACGGUCCUAAGGUAGCGAAAUUCCUUGUCGGGUAAGUUCCGACCCGCACGAAUGGUGUAACGACUUGUGAGCUGUCUCAACAGGGGGCCCGGUGAAAUUGAAGUAUGGGUGAAGAUGCCCAUUACCCGCGACUGGACGGAAAGACCCCGUAGAGCUUUACUGCAGCCUGAUAUUGAGUUUCGGUAACUGAUGCACAGGAUAGGUGGGAGUCUGAGAGACAUGGGUUUCGGCUCAUGUGGAGACGAUGUUGGGAUACCACUCUUCGGUUACUGAAAUUCUAACAUAGCUCUGUGAAACCAGAGGAUGGACAGUGUCAGGUGGACAGUUUGACUGGGGCGGUCGCCUCCGAAAGAGUAACGGAGGCGCCCAAAGGUACCCUCAGAAUGGAUGGAAACCAUUCGAAGAGCGCAAAGGCAGAAGGGUGCCUGACUGCGAGAGUGACAACUCGAGCAGAGACGAAAGUCGGGCUUAGUGAUCCGGCGGUAUUGAGUGGAAAAGCCGUCGCUUAACGGAUAAAAGCUACCUCGGGGAUAACAGGCUGAUCUCCCCCAAGAGUCCACAUCGACGGGGAGGUUUGGCACCUCGAUGUCGGCUCAUCGCAUCCUGGGGCUGUAUUCGGUCCCAAGGGUUUGGCUGUUCGCCAAUUAAAGCGGCACGCGAGCUGGGUUCAGAACGUCGUGAGACAGUUCGGUCCCUAUCCAUCGUGGGCGUAGGAGUCAUGAGAGGAGCUGUUCCUAGUACGAGAGGACCGGAAUGGACGCACCACUGGUGCAACUGUUGUCGUGCCAACGGCAUAGCAGGGAAGCGAAGUGCGGAUGGGAUAAACGCUGAAGGCAUCUAAGCGUGAAGCCCACCUCAAGAAUAAGUGU
rnacentral:rRNA from 1 species